UGGGGAAUAUUGCACAAUGGGCGAAAGCCUGAUGCAGCAACGCCGCGUGGAGUGAUGAAGGCCUUCGGGUUGUAAAGCUCUGUCUUUUGGGACGAUAAUGACGGUACCAAAGGAGGAAGCCACGGCUAACUACGUGCCAGCAGCCGCGGUAAUACGUAGGUGGCAAGCGUUGUCCGGAUUCACUGGGCGUAAAGGAUGCGUAGGCGGAUUUUUAAGUGAGAUGUGAAAUACCCGGGCUUAACUUGGGUGCUGCAUUUCAAACUGGGAAUCUAGAGUGCGGGAGAGGAGAAUGGAAUUCCUAGUGUAGCGGUGAAAUGCGUAGAGAUUAGGAAGAACACCAGUGGCGAAGGCGAUUCUCUGGACCGUAACUGACGCUGAGGCAUGAAAGCGUGGGUAGCAAAACAGGAUUAGAUACCCUGGUAGUCCACGCCGUAAACGAUGAGUACUAGGUGUAGGAGGUAUCGACCCCUUCUGUGCCGCAGUUAACACAAUCAAGUACUCCGCCUGGGAAGUACGAUCGCAAGAUUAAAACUU
rnacentral:rRNA from 1 species